GUGCCAGCAGCCGCGGUAAUACUUGUUCCGAUAGUGUGUAUGAUGAUUGAUGCAGUUAAAAAGUCUGUAGUUUAUUUAUAAUAAGCAUUGUAAGGUAUACUGUAUGGUUAGGAGAGAGAUGAAAUGUGAUAACCCUAACUGGAUGAACAGAAGCGAAAGCUGUAUACUUAAAUGUAUUAUUAGAACAAGGACGUAAGCUAGAGGAUCGAAGAUGAUUAGAUACCAUUGUAGUUCUAGCAGUAAACUAUGUUGAAUCAUAGAUAUAUUUUGAUAUAUAUUUAUGUAGAGAAAUUAAGAUUAUAUUGACUCUGGGGAUAGUAUGAUCGCAAGAUUGAAAAUUAAAGAAAUUGACGGAAGAAUACCACAAGGAGUGGAUUGUGCGGCUUAAUUUGACUCAACGCGGGGUAAUUUACCAGGUAUAACAUGGUAAAAUAUUUUAUCAUGAUAGUGGUGCAUGGCCGUUUCCAAUGGAUGCUGUGAAGUAAUGAUUAAUUUCAACAAGAUGUGAGACCCUCAUUUAGACAGAUGUAGUGAUACAUAUGAAGGAGAGGAUUAAAACAGGUCCGUUAUGCCCUAAGAUAAUCUGGGUUGCACGCGCAAUACAAUAAUAUUUGAUAUUAUAAGGGAUAAUAUAAUGUAAGAUAUAUUUGAACAUGGAAUUGCUAGUAAAUUUUAUUUAAUAAGUAGAAUUGAAUGAGUCCCUGUUCUUUGUACACA
rnacentral:rRNA from 1 species